AUUGAACGCUGGCGGCAGGCCUAACACAUGCAAGUCGAGCGGAUGAAGGGAGCUUGCUCCUGGAUUCAGCGGCGGACGGGUGAGUAAUGCCUAGGAAUCUGCCUGGUAGUGGGGGAUAACGUCCGGAAACGGGCGCUAAUACCGCCUACGUCCUGAGGGAGAAAGUGGGGGAUCUUCGGACCUCACGCUAUCAGAUGAGCCUAGGUCGGAUUAGUUAGUUGGUGGGGUAAAGGCCUACCAAGGCGAGGAUCCGUAACUGGUCUGAGAGGAUGAUCAGUCACACUGGAACUUAGACACGGUCCAGACUCCUACGGGAGGCAGCAGUGGGGAAUAUUGGACAAUGGGCGAAAGCCUGAUCCAGCCAUGCCGCGUGUGUGAAGAAGGUCUUCGGAUUGUAAAGCACGUUAAGUUGGGAGGAAGGGCAGUAAGUUAAUACCUUGCUGUUUUGACGUUACCAACAGAAUAAGCACCGGCUAACUUCGUG
rnacentral:rRNA from 1 species